UACAGAGGUCGCAAGCGUUGUUCGGAUUCACUGGGCGUAAAGGGUGCGUAGGCGGUCGGGUAAGUCUGAUGUGAAAUCUCACAGCUUAACUGUGAAACUGCAUUGGAUACUACCCGGCUCGAGGAAUGGAGGGGAGACUGGAAUACUUGGUGUAGCAGUGAAAUGCGUAGAUAUCAAGUGGAACACCAGUGGCGAAGGCGAGUCUCUGGACAUUUCCUGACGCUGAGGCACGAAAGCCAGGGGAGCAAACGGG
rnacentral:rRNA from 1 species